rnacentral:rRNA from 1 species
GGGUUGUGAGGUUAAGCGACUAAGCGUACACGGUGGAUGCCCUGGCAGUCAGAGGCGAUGAAGGACGUGCUAAUCUGCGAUAAGCGCCGGUAAGGUGAUAUGAACCGUUAUAACCGGCGAUUUCCGAAUGGGGAAACCCAGUGUGACUCGUCACACUAUCAUUAACUGAAUCCAUAGGUUAAUGAGGCGAACCGGGGGAACUGAAACAUCUAAGUACCCCGAGGAAAAGAAAUCAACCGAGAUUCCCCCAGUAGCGGCGAGCGAACGGGGAGGAGCCCAGAGCCUGAAUCAGCAUGUGUGUUAGUGGAAGCGUCUGGAAAGGCGCGCGAUACAGGGUGACAGCCCCGUACACAAAAGCGCAUGUGCUGUGAGCUCGAUGAGUAGGGCGGGACACGUGGUAUCCUGUCUGAAUAUGGGGGGACCAUCCUCCAAGGCUAAAUACUCCUGACUGACCGAUAGUGAACCAGUACCGUGAGGGAAAGGCGAAAAGAACCCCGGCGAGGGGAGUGAAAAAGAACCUGAAACCGUGUACGUACAAGCAGUGGGAGCACCCUUUGGGGUGUGACUGCGUACCUUUUGUAUAAUGGGUCAGCGACUUAUAUUCUGUAGCAAGGUUAACCGUAUAGGGGAGCCGGAGGGAAACC